AUGGAAUCGGAAUCAAAAUCGUAUCUUCCGUUCUCGUAUAAAUUAAAUUUCUUCUUUUAUGAGAAUUUAAUUAUACUGCAGAGCCCCACCAAAAUUAAGGCCAUGUUUCUAGUUCACAUAUACAUUUUUAUUUUGAUUCUUGGAAUAACUUGUGUGACGAGUUUGGGUAAUACAACCAUUGGCAGUGAAAAUAAACAAACAAAUAAAUGUUUUUAUCGUUGCAAUGAAACAACUCCAGUAUGCGGUUUCAAUGGAAGAUGCAAAUUUAAGUUUAACUCAAAAUGUGAUUUGGGAUAUUAUAACUGUCAAUAUACCCAAAAAUCAAAUCGAAUUGCUAUAAUAAGUGAUGAUGUCUGCAAAAAUAAAAACUACUCAAAAUGUUCUUCCUUUUAUGACACCCUCAAACAUACCUAUUUUCCAAUACCAACCUAAUAAAAAUCCUAAGUGAUAUUGUUUUAGGUAAGGUUAAGAUUUAAACGGAAUAAUAAAAUAUAAAAAAAGUUGUUGUUUCUUACCGAGAAAAUUAAA